rnacentral:rRNA from 1 species
AACGAACGCUGGCGGCAGGCUUAACACAUGCAAGUCGAACGCACCGCAAGGUGAGUGGCAGACGGGUGAGUAACACGUGGGGAUCUGCCCAAUGGUACGGAAUAGCUCCGGGAAACUGGAAUUAAUACCGUAUGUGCCCUUCGGGGGAAAGAUUUAUCGCCAUUGGAUGAACCCGCGUCGGAUUAGCUAGUUGGUGAGGUAAAGGCUCACCAAGGCGACGAUCCGUAGCUGGUCUGAGAGGAUGAUCAGCCACACUGGGACUGAGACACGGCCCAGACUCCUACGGGAGGCAGCAGUGGGGAAUAUUGGACAAUGGGCGCAAGCCUGAUCCAGCCAUGCCGCGUGAGUGAUGAAGGCCUUAGGAUUGUAAAGCUCUUUCGCCGACGAAGACAAUGACGGUAGUCGGAGAAGAAGCCCCGGCUAACUUCGUGCCAGCCGCCGCAGUAAAAC